rnacentral:rRNA from 1 species
AACGGAGAGUUUGAUCCUGGCUCAGGAUGAACGCUGGCGGCGUGCUUAACACAUGCAAGUCGAACGAACCUUCGGGUUAGUGGCGGACGGGUGAGUAACGCGUGAGAAUCUGCCCUCAGGAGGGGGAUAACGGUUGGAAACGACCGCUAAUACCCCAUAUGCCGCGAGGUGAAAUGAAUUUCGCCUGGGGAUGAGCUCGCGUCUGAUUAGCUAGUUGGUGGGGUAAAGGCCUACCAAGGCAUCGAUCAGUAGCUGGUCUGAGAGGAUGAUCAGCCACACUGGGACUGAGACACGGCCCAGACUCCUACGGGAGGCAGCAGUGGGGAAUUUUCCGCAAUGGGCGAAAGCCUGACGGAGCAACGCCGCGUGAGGGAUGAAGGCCUCUGGGCUGUAAACCUCUUUUAUCAAGGAAGAAGAUCUGACGGUACUUGAUGAAUAAGCCACGGCUAAUUCCGUGCCAGCAGCCGCGGUAAUACGGGAGUGGCAAGCGUUAUCCGGAAUUAUUGGGCGUAAAGCGUCCGCAGGCGGCCCUUCAAGUCUGCUGUUAAAAAGUGGAGCUUAACUCCAUCAUGGCAGUGGAAACUGUUGGGCUUGAGUGUGGUAGGGGCAGAGGGAAUUCCCGGUGUAGCGGUGAAAUGCGUAGAUAUCGGGAAGAACACCAGUGGCGAAGGCGCUCUGCUGGGCCAUCACUGACGCUCAUGGACGAAAGCCAGGGGAGCGAAAGGGAUUAGAUACCCCUGUAGUCCUGGCCGUAAACGAUGAACACUAGGUGUCGGGGGAAUCGACCCCCUCGGUGUCGUAGCCAACGCGUUAAGUGUUCCGCCUGGGGAGUACGCACGCAAGUGUGAAACUCAAAGGAAUUGACGGGGGCCCGCACAAGCGGUGGAGUAUGUGGUUUAAUUCGAUGCAACGCGAAGAACCUUACCAGGGUUUGACAUCCUGCGAAUCUCUUGGAAACGAGAGAGUGCCUUCGGGAACGCAGUGACAGGUGGUGCAUGGCUGUCGUCAGCUCGUGUCGUGAGAUGUUGGGUUAAGUCCCGCAACGAGCGCAACCCACGUCUUUAGUUGCCAGCAUUUAGUUGGGCACUCUAGAGAGACCGCCGGUGAUAAACCGGAGGAAGGUGUGGAUGACGUCAAGUCAUCAUGCCCCUUACAUCCUGGGCUACACACGUACUACAAUGCUACGGACAAAGGGCAGCAAGUUCGCGAGGACAAGCAAAUCCCAUAAACCGUGGCUCAGUUCAGAUCGUAGGCUGCAACUCGCCUACGUGAAGGAGGAAUCGCUAGUAAUCGCAGGUCAGCAUACUGCGGUGAAUACGUUCCCGGGCCUUGUACACACCGCCCGUCACACCAUGGAAGUUGGCCACGCCCGAAGCCGUUACUCCAACCCUCGGGAGGAGGACGUCGAAGGUGGGGCUGAUGACUGGGGUGAAGUCGUAACAAGGUAUCCGUACCGGAAGGUGCGGAUGGAUCACCUCCUAA